rnacentral:rRNA from 1 species
UACAGAGGGUGCGAGCGUUAAUCGGAAUUACUGGGCGUAAAGCGCGCGUAGGCGGCUUUGCAAGUCGAGUGUGAAAUCCCCAGGCUUAACCUGGGAACUGCAUUCGAGACUGCAUAGCUAGAGUAUGGGAGAGGGAAGUGGAAUUUCAGGUGUAGCGGUGAAAUGCGUAGAUAUCUGAAGGAACAUCAGUGGCGAAAGCGAGUUCCUGGACCAAUACUGUGGCUCAUGUGUGAAAGCGUGGGGAGCAAAUGGG